UGGAUACUGGACGGCUUGAGUGCGGGAGAGGUUAUCGGAAUUCCCGGUGUAGCGGUGAAAUGCGUAGAGAUCGGGAGGAACACCAGUGGCGAAGGCGGGUAACUGGACCGCAACUGACGCUGAAGCGCGAAAGUGUGGGGAGCAAACAGGAUUAGAUACCCUGGUAGUCCACACUGUAAACGAUGAAUGCUAGGUGUAGGAGGUAUCGACCCCUUCUGUGCCGGAGUCAACACAAUAAGCAUUCCGCCUGGGGAGUACGGCCGCAAGGUUGAAACUCAAAGGAAUUGACGGGGGCCCGCACAAGCAGCGGAGCAUGUGGAUUAAUUCGACGCAACGCGAAGAACCUUACCAGGUCUUGACAUCCAGUAAAGCCUGUAGAGAUACAGAGUCCCUUCGGGGGUACUGAGACAGGUGGUGCAUGGUUGUCGUCAGCUCGUGUCGUGAGAUGUUGGGUUAAGUCCCGCAACGAGCGCAAC
rnacentral:rRNA from 1 species